CUCUGUUUCGAAAAUGAUUCAGGGCGGAAGGAG
rfam:Bacillus thuringiensis serovar israelensis ATCC 35646 sq1281, whole genome shotgun sequence.